GGAUGUCUGCUUCGACCUAUUCUUGACCGCAGCACAUCCGUUUUCCUUACAGUAUGUAGUACGCAUUCUACCUUUUCCUACAAUGAAUCCACCAGCAGAAAUUCCUGUACACAUCUUAUCAACAAAGAAUUUGAACCUCAAAGAGUGGCUCAAAGAGGUCAGGAGGCACCUUCAACACUUUUAUUGGAGAUCUCCUUGUCUAGAUCAUCAGAUUCUCACUGUGUUACCUAGGCUGCAGUGCAGUGGUGCGAUCUCAACUCACUGCAACCUCUACCUCCUGGGUUCAAGCAAUUCUCCUGCCUCAGCCUCCCAAGUAGCUGGGAUUACAGGAAUUACACACUAAUAGUGAAGAACAGGUGGCACCUGAAAUCACAGAAAAUUUAUUUGUCCUCAAUGCAAAGAUGAACUAUGAAGAGCACUUUAUUGCGUUUGAAGAAUAUAGGAAUGAUGAGUGAAAUGGUGAAGGAAGUGGAUAAACAAUGAUGUAACGACUGAGCGUCAUCUUGCAACUGAAUAAGCCAGUGAGGAACUUGGUAAAUUUGUUGAUUAUAUUUAGUUUUACAAUGUUUAAUUCUUUAUUAUUUUGAAGUGAUUUAUUUUAUUAUUAGGAAUGAUCAAUAGUAAUGCAUCUUCCAAAACUGUGGAAAGAUCAUAUUGCGCAAACUAGAGCAAAAAAUCACAUUCCUCUUGCAUGGGCAUGAAAUCUUUAUCAAAUGACAUCAGGCACUGAAGCAGCUAUCUGAUACCU
rnacentral:lncRNA from 10 species